UACGUAGGAUGCAAGCGUUGUCCGGAAUUAUUGGGCGUAAAGAGCGCGCAGGCGGUAUGACAAGUCAGAUGUGAAAGAGGCCGGCUUAACCGGCAAGGGUCAUUUGAAACUGUCAGACUAGAGUGCAGCAGAGGAUAGUGGAAUUCCCGGUGUAGUGGUGAAAUGCGUAGAUAGUCGGGAGGAACACCAGUGGCGGAAGGCGGCCUGCUGGGCAGUGGCUGACACUGAGGCGCGACAGCGUGGGGAGCAAACAGG
rnacentral:rRNA from 1 species